rnacentral:rRNA from 1 species
UGGGGAAUAUUGGACAAUGGGGGCAACCCUGAUCCAGCAAUGCCGCGUGUGUGAAGAAGGUCUUCGGAUUGUAAAGCACUUUCGACGGGGACGAUGAUGACGGUACCCGUAGAAGAAGCCCCGGCUAACUUCGUGCCAGCAGCCGCGGUAAUACGAAGGGGGCUAGCGUUGCUCGGAAUGACUGGGCGUAAAGGGCGUGUAGGCGGUUUACACAGUCAGAUGUGAAAUCCCCGGGCUUAACCUGGGAGCUGCAUUUGAUACGUGUAGACUAGAGUGUGAGAGAGGGUUGUGGAAUUCCCAGUGUAGGGGUGAAAUUCGUAGAUAUUGGGAAGAACACCGGUGGCGAAGGCGGCAACCUGGCUCAUGACUGACGCUGAGGCGCGAAAGCGUGGGGAGCAAACAGGAUUAGAUACCCGUGGUAGUCCACGCUGUAAACGAUGUGUGCUAGAUGUUGGGUAA